rnacentral:rRNA from 1 species
UACGGAGGGGGCUAGCGUUGUUCGGAAUUACUGGGCGUAAAGCGCGCGUAGGCGGACCUGCAAGUCGGGGGUGAAAGCCCGAGGCUCAACCUCGGAACUGCCUUCGAUACUGCGGGUCUCGAGUCCGGGAGAGGUGAGUGGAAUUCCUAGUGUAGAGGUGAAAUUCGUGAGAUAUUAGGAAGAACACCCGUGGCUAAGGCGGCUCUCUAGUACGGUACUGACGCUGAGACGCGAAAGCGUGGGGAGCGAACAGG